UACAGAGGUCCCAAGCGUUGUUCGGAUUCAUUGGGCGUAAAGGGUGCGUAGGCGGCGCGGUAAGUCGGGUGUGAAAUCGCCCGGCUCAACUGGGCGGGGUCAGCGGAUACGGCAGAGCUUGAGCAAGCUAGGGGGCAAUGGAAUUCCCGGUGUAGUGGUGGAAUGCGUAGAUAUCGGGAGGAACACCAGUGGCGAAGGCGGUUGCCUGGGGCUUUGCUGACGCUGAUGCGCGAAAGCGUGGGGAGCGAUCCGG
rnacentral:rRNA from 1 species